rnacentral:rRNA from 1 species
AGAAUCAACGCUGGCGGCGUGCCUAACACAUGCAAGUCGAACGCGAAAGUUCCGCAAGGAAUUAGUAGAGUGGCAAACGGGUGAGUAACACGUGGGUGACCUGCCUUCGAGUGGGGGAUAACGUCCCGAAAGGGACGCUAAUACCGCAUAAUAUCCUGCCUUUUAAGAGGUGGAGAUCAAAGCCGGGGGACCGCAAGGCCUGGCGCUGGAAGAGGGGCCCGCGUCCGAUUAGCUAGUUGGUGGGGUAACGGCUCACCAAGGCGACGAUCGGUAGCCGGCCUAAGAGGGCGGACGGCCACACUGGGACUGAGACACGGCCCAGACUCCUACGGGAGCAGCAGUGGGAAUUGUCGCAAUGGGCAAAGCCUGACGACGCAACGCCGCGUGGAGGAUGAAGACCGUUCGGGUCGUAAACUCCUUUCGGAUCGGAGACGAAUGGCCUUUGGGUUAACAGCCCGGAAGAAUGACGGUACCGAGAGAAGA